GGGUUGUGAGGUUAAGCGACUAAGCGUACACGGUGGAUGCCCUGGCAGUCAGAGGCGAUGAAGGACGUGCUAAUCUGCGAUAAGCGUCGGUAAGGUGAUAUGAACCGUUAUAACCGGCGAUUUCCGAAUGGGGAAACCCAGUGUGUUUCGACACACUAUCAUUAACUGAAUCCAUAGGUUAAUGAGGCGAACCGGGGGGAACUGAAACAUCUAAGUACCCCGAGGAAAAGAAAUCAACCGAGAUUCCCCCAGUAGCGGCGAGCGAACGGGGAGCAGCCCAGAGCCUGAAUCAGUGUGUGUGUUAGUGGAAGCGUCUGGAAAGGCGCGCGAUACAGGGUGACAGCCCCGUACACAAAAAUGCACAUGCUGUGAGCUCGAUGAGUAGGGCGGGACACGUGGUAUCCUGUCUGAAUAUGGGGGGGACCAUCCUCCAAGGCUAAAUACUCCUGACUGACCGAUAGUGAACCAGUACCGUGAGGGAAAGGCGAAAAGAACCCCGGCGAGGGGAGUGAAAAAGAACCUGAAACCGUGUACGUACAAGCAGUGGGAGCACGCUUAGGCGUGUGACUGCGUACCUUUUGUAUAAUGGGUCAGCGACUUAUAUUCUGUAGCAAGGUUAACCGAAUAGGGAGCCGAAGGGAAACCGAGUCUUAACUGGGCGUUAAGUUGCAGGGUAUAGACCCGAAACCCGGUGAUCUAGCCAUGGGCAGGUUGAAGGUUGGGUAACACUAACUGGAGGACCGAACCGACUAAUGUUGAAAAAUUAGCGGAUGACUUGUGGCUGGGGGUGAAAGGCCAAUCAAACCGGGAGAUAGCUGGUUCUCCCCGAAAGCUAUUUAGGUAGCGCCUCGUGAAUUCAUCUCCGGGGGUAGAGCACUGUUUCGGCAAGGGGGUCAUCCCGACUUACCAACCCGAUGCAAACUGCGAAUACCGGAGAAUGUUAUCACGGGAGACACACGGCGGGUGCUAACGUCCGUCGUGAAGAGGGAAACAACCCAGACCGCCAGCUAAGGUCCCAAAGUCAUGGUUAAGUGGGAAACGAUGUGGGAAGGCCCAGACAGCCAGGAUGUUGGCUUAGAAGCAGCCAUCAUUUAAAGAAAGCGUAAUAGCUCACUGGUCGAGUCGGCCUGCGCGGAAGAUGUAACGGGGCUAAACCAUGCACCGAAGCUGCGGCAGCGACGCUUAUGCGUUGUUGGGUAGGGGAGCGUUCUGUAAGCCUGUGAAGGUGUACUGUGAGGUAUGCUGGAGGUAUCAGAAGUGCGAAUGCUGACAUAAGUAACGAUAAAGCGGGUGAAAAGCCCGCUCGCCGGAAGACCAAGGGUUCCUGUCCAACGUUAAUCGGGGCAGGGUGAGUCGACCCCUAAGGCGAGGCCGAAAGGCGUAGUCGAUGGGAAACAGGUUAAUAUUCCUGUACUUGGUGUUACUGCGAAGGGGGACGGAGAAGGCUAUGUUGGCCGGGCGACGGUUGUCCCGGUUUAAGCGUGUAGGCUGGUUUUCCGGGCAAAUCCGGAAAAUCAAGGCUGAGGCGUGAUGACGAGGCACUACGGUGCUGAAGCAACAAAUGCCCUGCUUCCGGGAAAAGCCUCUAAGCAUCAGGUAACAUCAAAUCGUACCCCAAACCGACACAGGUGGUCAGGUAGAGAAUACCAAGGCGCUUGAGAGAACUCGGGUGAAGGAACUAGGCAAAAUGGUGCCGUAACUUCGGGAGAAGGCACGCUGAUAUGUAGGUGAAGUCCCUCGCGGAUGGAGCUGAAAUCAGUCGAAGAUACCAGCUGGCUGCAACUGUUUAUUAAAAACACAGCACUGUGCAAACACGAAAGUGGACGUAUACGGUGUGACGCCUGCCCGGUGCCGGAAGGUUAAUUGAUGGGGUCAGCGCAAGCGAAGCUCUUGAUCGAAGCCCCGGUAAACGGCGGCCGUAACUAUAACGGUCCUAAGGUAGCGAAAUUCCUUGUCGGGUAAGUUCCGACCUGCACGAAUGGCGUAAUGAUGGCCAGGCUGUCUCCACCCGAGACUCAGUGAAAUUGAACUCGCUGUGAAGAUGCAGUGUACCCGCGGCAAGACGGAAAGACCCCGUGAACCUUUACUAUAGCUUGACACUGAACAUUGAGCCUUGAUGUGUAGGAUAGGUGGGAGGCUUUGAAGUGUGGACGCCAGUCUGCAUGGAGCCGACCUUGAAAUACCACCCUUUAAUGUUUGAUGUUCUAACGUUGACCCGUGAUCCGGGUUGCGGACAGUGUCUGGUGGGUAGUUUGACUGGGGCGGUCUCCUCCUAAAGAGUAACGGAGGAGCACGAAGGUUGGCUAAUCUGGUCGGACAUCAGGAGGUUAGUGCAAUGGCAUAAGCCAGCUUGACUGCGAGCGUGACGGCGCGAGCAGGUGCGAAAGCAGGUCAUAGUGAUCCGGUGGUUCUGAAUGGAAGGGCCAUCGCUCAACGGAUAAAAGGUACUCCGGGGAUAACAGGCUGAUACCGCCCAAGAGUUCAUAUCGACGGCGGUGUUUGGCACCUCGAUGUCGGCUCAUCACAUCCUGGGGCUGAAGUAGGUCCCAAGGGUAUGGCUGUUCGCCAUUUAAAGUGGUACGCGAGCUGGGUUUAGAACGUCGUGAGACAGUUCGGUCCCUAUCUGCCGUGGGCGCUGGAGAACUGAGGGGGGCUGCUCCUAGUACGAGAGGACCGGAGUGGACGCAUCACUGGUGUUCGGGUUGUCAUGCCAAUGGCACUGCCCGGUAGCUAAAUGCGGAAGAGAUAAGUGCUGAAAGCAUCUAAGCACGAAACUUGCCCCGAGAUGAGUUCUCCCUGACCCUUUAAGGGUCCUGAAGGAACGUUGAAGACGACGACGUUGAUAGGCCGGGUGUGUAAGCGCAGCGAUGCGUUGAGCUAACCGGUACUAAUGAACCGUGAGGCUUAACCUUACAACGCCGAAGGUGUUU
rnacentral:rRNA from 1 species